UACGUAGGGUGCGAGCGUUAAUCGGAAUUACUGGGCGUAAAGCGUGCGUAGGCGGUUCGUUAUGUCUGCUGUGAAAGCCCCGGGCUUAACCUGGGAAUGGCAGUGGAAACUGGCGGGCUUGAGUGUGGCAGAGGGGGGUGGAAUUCCGCGUGUAGCAGUGAAAUGCGUAGAGAUGCGGAGGAACACCGAUGGCGAAGGCAGCCCCUUGGGCUGACACUGACGCUGAGUCACGAAAUCUAGGGGAGCUAAAGGG
rnacentral:rRNA from 1 species